rnacentral:rRNA from 1 species
CAGGCCUAACACAUGCAAGUCGAACGGAAAGGCCCUGCUUUUGUGGGGUGCUCGAGUGGCGAACGGGUGAGUAACACGCGAGUAACCUGCCCUUGACUUUGGGAUAACUUCAGGAAACUGGGGCUAAUACCGGAUAGGAGCUCCUGUUGCAUGGUGGGGGUUGGAAAGUUUCGGCGGUUGGGGAUGGACUCGCGGCUUAUCAGCUUGUUGGUGGGGUAGUGGCUUACCAAGGCUUUGACGGGUAGCCGGCCUGAGAGGGAGACCGGCCACAUUGGGACUGAGAUACGGCCCAGACUCCUACGGGAGGCAGCAGUGGGGAAUAUUGCACAAUGGGCGGAAGCCUGAUGCAGCAACGCCGCGUGCGGGAUGACGGCCUUCGGGUUGUAAACCGCUUUCGCCUGUGACGAAGCGUGAGUGACGGUAAUGGGUAAAGAAGCACCGGCUAACUACGUGCCAGCAGCCGCGGUGAUACGUAGGGUGCGAGCGUUGUCCGGAUUUAUUGGGCGUAAAGGGCUCGUAGGUGGUUGAUCGCGUCGGAAGUGUAAUCUCGGGGCUUAACCCUGAGCGUGCUUUCGAUACGGGUUGACUUGAGGAAGGUAGGGGAGAAUGGAAUUCCUGGUGGAGCGGUGGAAUGCGCAGAUAUCAGGAGGAACACCAGUGGCGAAGGCGGUUCUCUGGGCCUUUCCUGACGCUGAGGAGCGAAAGCGUGGGGAGCGAGCAGGCUUAGAUACCCUGGUAGUCCACGCUGUA